GACCGAUAGUGAACCAGUACCGUGAGGGAAAGGCGAAAAGAACCCCGGCGAGGGGAGUGAAAAAGAACCUGAAACCGUGUACGUACAAGCAGUGGGAGCACGCUUAGGCGUGUGACUGCGUACCUUUUGUAUAAUGGGUCAGCGACUUAUAUUCUGUAGCAAGGUUAACCGAAUAGGGGAGCCGAAGGGAAACCGAGUCUUAACUGGGCGUUAAGUUGCAGGGUAUAGACCCGAAACCCGGUGAUCUAGCCAUGGGCAGGUUGAAGGUUGGGUAACACUAACUGGAGGACCGAACCGACUAAUGUUGAAAAAUUAGCGGAUGACUUGUGGCUGGGGGUGAAAGGCCAAUCAAACCGGGAGAUAGCUGGUUCUCCCCGAAAGCUAUUUAGGUAGCGCCUCGUGAAUUCAUCUCCGGGGGUAGAGCACUGUUUCGGCAAGGGGGUCAUCCCGACUUACCAACCCGAUGCAAACUGCGAAUACCGGAGAAUGUUAUCACGGGAGACACACGGCGGGUGCUAACGUCCGUCGUGAAGAGGGAAACAACCCAGACCGCCAGCUAAGGUCCCAAAGUCAUGGUUAAGUGGGAAACGAUGUGGGAAGGCCCAGACAGCCAGGAUGUUGGCUUAGAAGCAGCCAUCAUUUAAAGAAAGCGUAAUAGCUCACUGGUCGAGUCGGCCUGCGCGGAAGAUGUAACGGGGCUAAACCAUGCACCGAAGCUGCGGCAGCGACGCUUAUGCGUUGUUGGGUAGGGGAGCGUUCUGUAAGCCUGCGAAGGUGUGCUGUGAGGCAUGCUGGAGGUAUCAGAAGUGCGAAUGCUGACAUAAGUAACGAUAAAGCGGGUGAAAAGCCCGCUCGCCGGAAGACCAAGGGUUCCUGUCCAACGUUAAUCGGGGCAGGGUGAGUCGACCCCUAAGGCGAGGCCGAAAGGCGUAGUCGAUGGGAAACAGGUUAAUAUUCCUGUACUUGGUGUUACUGCGAAGGGGGGACGGAGAAGGCUAUGUUGGCCGGGCGACGGUUGUCCCGGUUUAAGCGUGUAGGCUGGUUUUCCAGGCAAAUCCGGAAAAUCAAGGCUGAGGCGUGAUGACGAGGCACUACGGUGCUGAAGCAACAAAUGCCCUGCUUCCAGGAAAAGCCUCUAAGCAUCAGGUAACAUCAAAUCGUACCCCAAACCGACACAGGUGGUCAGGUAGAGAAUACCAAGGCGCUUGAGAGAACUCGGGUGAAGGAACUAGGCAAAAUGGUGCCGUAACUUCGGGAGAAGGCACGCUGAUAUGUAGGUGAAGUCCCUGCGGAUGGAGCUGAAAUCAGUCGAAGAUACCAGCUGGCUGCAACUGUUUAUUAAAAACACAGCACUGUGCAAACACGAAAGUGGACGUAUACGGUGUGACGCCUGCCCGGUGCCGGAAGGUUAAUUGAUGGGGUCAGCGCAAGCGAAGCUCUUGAUCGAAGCCCCGGUAAACGGCGGCCGUAACUAUAACGGUCCUAAGGUAGCGAAAUUCCUUGUCGGGUAAGUUCCGACCUGCACGAAUGGCGUAAUGAUGGCCAGGCUGUCUCCACCCGAGACUCAGUGAAAUUGAACUCGCUGUGAAGAUGCAGUGUACCCGCGGCAAGACGGAAAGACCCCGUGAACCUUUACUAUAGCUUGACACUGAACAUUGAGCCUUGAUGUGUAGGAUAGGUGGGAGGCUUGGAAGUGUGGACGCCAGUCUGCAUGGAGCCGACCUUGAAAUACCACCCUUUAAUGUUUGAUGUUCUAACGUUGACCCGUAAUCCGGGUUGCGGACAGUGUCUGGUGGG
rnacentral:rRNA from 1 species